CAAAAGGUUAAGAACCUAAGAAACACAUUUAUUAAUGUAUCUUCGUCUUAACACUAAAAUCUUAUAUGCGGGAGUAUUACCCUACAAACUUUUUCAUUCUCUGUAUAUCUCAUCUUCUCUCUCUUAUUCUCUCGUCAGGACAAAACCCAACUACCUCCAUCUACAUUUUUUCCGGCAGCCUCCAUCACCAUUUUUUCCGGCCACCGUUACUCCGUUAUGAACAUUUAUCAAAUCUGAAACUACCACAACAACCACCACUAAAAACCACCACAUACGUCAUAGCUAUCACCAUCUACAAAGUUGUCUUGACCUGCACCACACAACCUAUUCUUCGCCACUUUCUGUUAUCGUUUGUCUCUCGAUAUCUACAGGCGUCACCUUCUGUUUGUCGCACUAGAUUGGCUUCCAGUCAACGUACCAGAUCCACAUCUGUAGCCUUCAAAUCUGAGAAAUUCUUACCUCCGAUGGUUAGAUCAUGAAGCCAUCGUUUCCGUUCAUGAUUCUGUUGACUUUACAUUGUGUAUUUCUCACAUCUGGUUAGAUCUAAGUGAUUCCGGUGGUUUUUUGGUGUCUCCAAUGGUGUUGUAGUCCAGAUCUGCCUAUAUCUAGUUUGAUCUCUGUGGUCGCCAUUGUUUCUUUGCGAGAUUGGCUAAGUUCGACUGUUUUUGUUCAAAAUGUGAUGGAUAUUGUGUUAAUGAACUCCAGCAAGGACAACUCGGCUAUUUGAGUAUGUUUGAUAUUUUCCUGUGAACUCAAAUGGAGGGAAUGAUGUUGUUGGUGUUGACAUUGAUGCUUUGUGGUGACGAUGGUUGAUGACAACGUAUGGUAGACUGGUACUUGGCAGUGUUAAUGGUGGCGAUAGUGGAAGAGUAAUGAUAUUUUCUAUUUCUCACUCAUCAUCUUUGUUGAUUUCAGAUAAGUUAUCCUUUUUUAAGAUUCAAGUAUAUAUUUUUCUUUUGAUGUUUUCUUAUGAAGUAUGAGAUAACUUAUGUAUGUAUUAAAAUAUAAAUGAGUUUUUCAUACACUGAAAUAUGAGAUUAUACUUGUAAAUAAGUUGUGAAUAUAUUGUAUUAAACUGUGAAUUUGCUGUGUUAAGCUGUAAAUUUGCUCACAGCUUAGUAUAAUAAAUUCACAAUUUAAUAGAUAAAAAUGUCUCUAAAUAUGAACAUAUAACUGUUAGUAUUAAGUUAAAAAAAUAUAGCCGUGCAUAUAUAUUUUUUGUGUAUCAAACUAUGAAUUACUGUAUUAAGUUGUGAAUUUUAUGUAUUAAACUGUGAAAUGAUUGUAUUAAGCUGUGAAUUGACUGUAUUAAGAUUUGAAAUUUUUAUGAAUUUUGUAUUUGCUUCUGAAAUAUGAGAAGAAAGAAUCAUUAUACAUAUAUAUGAUUUUCUCUAAUUUUAACAAAAUUAUAUAAAAUUUAAAUUGUGAAUAUUAUGUACAUUAAAUUUUGAAAAACACCAACUGUUAGAUCUAAAUGUAUAAAUGUAUGUUUUUAAGUUAAGAAUAUGAUAUUUUUAUGUAUUAAAGUUUUAAUUUUUUAUAUUAAGAUUUAAAUUUUAUAUAUUAAACGAUAAUUGAGUAUAUUAAAUGAUGAAUUGACUACAUGUUGCUGUGAUUUUUUUUAAUAAUUUUUUUAAUAAAAUAUGAAUGAUUUAUGUAAAAAAAAUUGUAUUAAUUUCUUGUAAAUAUAUUUAUUUUUAAUUUUAUAUAAGUAUGUAAGAAUGCCUUAGCUUUUAUAAUUAUUUUGCAUUAAAUUCAAAAUGGAUGAAUAAACUAGUUUAUUAAACUAUGAAUGUAGUAUUUAACAUGUCAUUGUCUGACUUUAUAUGCAUAUCUCAUUUGGAAGAAAGAGAUGUUGCAAUGUUGACACAAGUGGUUGGUGGCGGCAUUUGGUGGUGGUAAAGUUUGGGUUUGAUUUCUAUGAAUUUGAGAAUUAGUGUAAAAUAAGUUCUGUUAAGUUGUGAAUUUUAUGUAUUAAACUGUAAAUGGACUGUAUAAAGUUGUAUUUUAUAAAAGUUUUGUGUUAAAAUAUAAAUGAAAGCAUGCACGGAA